GAUAAAAAAGUCUAUCUAUUAAAGUACCUUUAUUUGGAUUCUUCAGGAUUGUCCACUACAGAGGUGACUGUCUGAUUCAUUUAACUGUUUUUGUGGAAGAUGCCGCAGAGAAAUUGAUGAUACGCCUUAUGCUAAUUUUGAUGGUGGAUGGUUGGAGCAGGCUGUCAUAUGUUAGAAAUUUUCUUGUUGAGUCGACCAGACCAUCAAUAGAUUGGAAGGCCGGAAUAUUGAAUUGUUGGAAGAAUCAACUGGCAAAAUGGACGACAGCGGAGCUAGUAAGGCGUCUUGUGAUACUUUUAACAUUCAGAGAGAAAACAGCGGAAUGAUGUUUAACAUCUUCCCUUGAUGUCACUGGCAUCUUGGAGUGGGUUGAAGAGAGCAGUGGUGAUGAUGACCACUCACAAAAAUGAGAGCACGGUUUCCUUGCAGUGGGUCGUCCAUCACAGAGGCAAGGCGACCAUCUGAUUAACUGUUCUAGAGGAAGAUGCCGUGGAGAAAUUGAUGAUACCGCAUAGCUUGCUUUUGGUCAAGGAGGGUUGGAGCAGGCCAUCAUAUGAUAGAAAUUUUCUUGCUUGCAGGCAAGAACGGGCGAGGAGCCAGAGGCCCUCCAGAACUUGGUUGCGAACAAUGAAGAGAACUUGCAGGUCCCCCAGACUCCUGAAAGCAAUGAAUAAAACGCCCUAGACCCUGCGAAAGCAUUGAAGAAAACAUGGAGCUCAUGUCCUGAAACUAAUUAGAGUUUUUAGCCAUCAGAAGACAAAGUAGGCUUACAUCCAAUUUCCUACUUCGGAUUUCUGUGCGUGGCACUGCCCUCGGAGGACGAAGCCAUCUUCAGAAGUUAGCCAACUUCUGAAUAGUUGGAUCAUAAGUCUGGGGAAGUGAUUCUUGCACACCCUUAAUCUUCGCGCACGCUCCCUGCUUGUUUUUGACUUUUGGAUCGAAACAGUCAAAAGAUAAUCAAUCAAGGAACAUAAUCAUAAGUCUGUUCAUACGUUUUGAUGUCUAUUCAUAAAUGUUGAUGUCUGCUACAUCAAAUGUUGCUAACUGCACUACGGUAUUGUGCAAGCGUUA